GAUGAACGCGUGGCGGCGUGCCUCAAACAUGCAAGUCGAGCGGGGCUAUGUAAUAUCGCAAGGUAGAACAUAGCCUAGCGGCGAACAGGUGAGUAACACGUGGGUAACCUGCCUGGAAGACAGGGAUAACGAUUCGAAAGGGUCGCUAAUACCUGAUAAUAUCCUUUCAUCGCAUGGUGAUAGGAAGAAAGGGGAAACCCGCUUUCAGAUGGGCCCGCGUCCCAUCAGCUAGUUGGUAAGGUAAAGGCUUACCAAGGCGACGACGGGUAGCCGGUCUGAGAGGAUGUACGGCCACACUGGGACUGAGAUACGGCCCAGACUCCUACGGGAGGCAGCAGUUGGGAAUCUUAGGCAAUGGACGAAAGUCUGACCUAGCGACGCCGCGUGAGGGAAGAAGGCCUUCGGGUUGUAAACCUCUGUCAUGGGGGAAGAAGUAAGUGACGGUACCCCAAGAGGAAGCCCCUGCUAACUACGUG
rnacentral:rRNA from 1 species